rnacentral:rRNA from 2 species
CAUGUCUUUUUGAUUAUAAUUUAAAGUCUGGCCUGCCCUAUGAAUUUUUAAAUGGCUGCGGUACUCUGACCGUGCAAAGGUAGCAUAAUAAUUAGUUUUUUAAUUGGGAACUGGAAUGAAAGGUCGCACGAGAAAAAGACUGUCUCAAUUUAAUUUAAAUUAGAAUUUUAUUUUUAAGUAAAAAAGCUUAAAUAUUAUUAAAAGACGAGAAGACCCUAUAGAGUUUUAUAAUUUUAUUUAUAUUUAAAAGUUAAAGUAUUUUAGAUUUAAUUAUAAAUAAAAUUAUUUAAUUGGGGCGAUUAAAAAAUUUAAUAAACUUUUUUUAUUAUUAAACAUUGAUAUAUGAUUAAGUGAUCCAUAGUGUUAUGAUUAUAAGAUUAAAUUACCUUAGGGAUAACAGCGUAAUUUUUUUUGAGAGUUCUUAUCGAAAAAAAAGUUUGCGACC